AUCUUCUGGUUGGUUGUUCUUAGUUACGUAUUUUAAGAAGCAAAAGGGUGGUGCGUAACCAGCUCCAGAACCUCCUCUUAAUGUUAAUCUGUUUAUAAGAUUGCUUCUUGGUGUCUGCAAUACACUUACACCUCAAGCUGCUGUUGAGUAUUCUGCCAGUGUGGAAAUAGCUCUGCUUUGCAAACUAAAUCAGUUCCACUCGAAUAUUUUAGAGAGCACCUUGGAAGGAAAAAAAAAAAAGGAAAUAAAAAUGUUCUGAAUGUUCUGGUUAGACAUCUUUCAUGUGGUAUGUUUGUAGUUGCACAUAAAUCCAUUUUUUGUUUCAUCACUAUUUAACUUCAUAAAUAGAAAUGCGUGAGAAAAAUGUCAUAGCAUAGGCAUGAUCUUUGUUUCCAGAGUUUUAAUCCUAUUUUACAUGCUGAGUAAAAUUGAGGUUGAAACCAAAUGCCAAAACCUGGAGCCCCUCCCUGAAAUGAUACUUCCAACUUUUGCAGUUUUAGCUGCUAGCACUGAUGAAUGUCUAAUGUGCUCUUGCUAGAGCAAAUGGUUUGUUCCAAAGUGGGCUUGUUUUCUCUAGCUUAUCCUGUCAUUAGCAGUCCCUCCCUUGUUACCUGCUGACGAGUGCUACACUGUACUAAAUAUAUUACCAUCACCAGCUUCCAUCAGCACAUGCCAUGUGUCCUCAGCUGAGCAUUACUCAGGAAACUCACUGGAUUUUUGACUUUGACCUAAAAACCUGUCUUGCUCAGACAAGAUAGUCUUGAGACAAGACCAGUCUGCUUGAAAGUGUCUCAUUGCCCUCCAUAAACCUCAGACCAAAUUCACACAGUUCUGGCUUGCUGAUAUAAUCUUUCUGAUCAUUCACCUUUCAGUUUCUGCAUAGGCAGAUGAAUUAGCAAAGACUGGUAAGAAGAUUUUCCUAAUUAAGUUAAUUAUGCACUUUAGAAGGAUCUCUGUAGGCGUAGGAAGAAACCAGUGGUGUUCUGCUUGCUGCCUUUUGUUGUCUUCUCUGUUCUGAAAUUAAAUCAGCUCUCGGGCAGCUGCCUUUCCCUGCUCUGUGGUGAGAUAUGCACAGUGUCUCUUAGGAUUAAUAAAUGGCUGUUCCCAAUA
rnacentral:lncRNA from 1 species